AUACGUAGGUGGCAAGCGUUGUCCGGAAUUAUUGGGCGUAAAGCGCGCGCAGGUGGUUCCUUAAGUCUGAUGUGAAAGCCCCCGGCUCAACCGGGGAGGGUCAUUGGAAACUGGGGAACUUGAGUGCAGAAGAGGAUAGUGGAAUUCCAAGUGUAGCGGUGAAAUGCGUAGAGAUUUGGAGGAACACCAGUGGCGAAGGCGACUGUCUGGUCUGUAACUGACACUGAGGCGCGAAAGCGUGGGGAGCAAACAGGAUUAGAUACCCUGGUAGUCCACGCCGUAAACGAUGAGUGCUAAGUGUUGGGGGGUUUCCGCCCCUCAGCGCUGCAGCUAACGCAUUAAGCACUCCGCCUGGGGAGUACGGUCGCAAGACUGAAACUCAAAGGAAUUGACGGGG
rnacentral:rRNA from 1 species